AUUGAACGCUGGCGGCAGGCCUAACACAUGCAAGUCGAGCGGAUGAAGGGAGCUUGCUCCUGGAUUCAGCGGCGGACGGGUGAGUAAUGCCUAGGAAUCUGCCUGGCAGUGGGGGAUAACGUCCGGAAACGGGCGCUAAUACCGUAUACGUCCUGAGGGAGAAAGUGGGGGAUCUUCGGACCUCACGCUAUCAGAUGAGCCUAGGUCGGAUUAGCUAGUUGGUGGGGUAAAGGCCUACCAAGGCGACGAUCCGUAACUGGUCUGAGAGGAUGAUCAGUCACACUGGAACUGAGACACGGUCCAGACUCCUACGGGAGGCAGCAGUGGGGAAUAUUGGACAAUGGGCGAAAGCCUGAUCCAGCCAUGCCGCGUGUGUGAAGAAGGUCUUCGGAUUGUAAAGCACUUUAAGUUGGGAAGAAGAGCAGUAAGUUAAUACCUUGCUGUUUUGACGGUACCAACAGAAUAAGCACCGGCUAACUUCGUG
rnacentral:rRNA from 1 species